UGGCGAACGGGUGAGUAACACGUGGGUGAUCUGCCCUGCACUUCGGGAUAAGCUUGGGAAACUGGGUCUAAUACCGGAUAGGACCAUCGUUUAGUGUCGGUGGUGGAAAGUCUUUUCGGUGUGGGAUGAGCUCGCGGCCUAUCAGCUUGUUGGUGGGGUAAUGGCCUACCAAGGCGUCGACGGGUAGCCGGCCUGAGAGGGUGUACGGCCACAUUGGGACUGAGAUACGGCCCAG
rnacentral:rRNA from 1 species